GCCUGGAUGGCUCAGUUGGUUAAGCGUCAGACUUUGGCUCAGGUCAUGAUCUCAUGAUCGUGGGUUCAAGCCCUAUGUCAGGCU
rnacentral:tRNA from 1 species